rnacentral:sRNA from 3 species
CUCAACCGCAAGGAGGGGGAUGCCUAAGGCAGGGCUAGUGACUGGGGUGAAGUCGUAACAAGGUAGCCGUACCGGAAGGUGUGGCUGGAUCACCUCCUUAAAGGGAGACCUAAUUCAGGUAGGAGACGAAAAAAAAGUAGUCCCUACCAAGAAUCAAUCCCAAAAGGUCGGAGCGAGGCAAAAUUGGCUUUCAAACUAGGUUCUGGGUUCACACAAGACCUGAAUCAGGAACAAGGGCUAUUAGCUCAGGUGGUUAGAGCGCACCCCUGAUAAGGGUGAGGUCCCUGGUUCGAGUCCAGGAUGGCCCACCUGUACAGGUGGCAAAAAGAAAGAAAAGAAGCGAGGAAUCAGCACCUUAUCUUACUUAUAUAGUAAGAGAGAAUGCUGGCUCUGAGUUCAGAGUCCAGAGGAACCUUGAAAACUGCAUAGAGCUAGGUGAAAAAGCCAAAAAAGAAGACCGCAAGGUCAAGCUAAUAAGGGCUAACGGUG